AUGGAGAAAAAAGAAUACAUUCGUAGAAAAAUACUUAUUAACAUAGAACAUUCCUUCAUUUUCACCUUUGCUUUUUUACCCAAUUAUUUUCAAGAGUAUAGCCCAGUACUGUUGCUAGUAGCCACAUAUUGUCAUUUCCCUCAGUACCAGAAAAGUUCCCGUGCUGGUUCUCCUGAUCUGUGGAAGUCUUCCUAUUUUCUUGAGCCUCAGAAACCUGUCUUCCCUGAAACCAGAAAAACAGGUUCUUCUGGGCCAUCUGAAUCCCCCAAAGCAGCCUCAGCUAUCUGGAAGCCUGUUCUAUUGAUACUAAGCCUGGGAAACCCACCCUGUUUCCUGAGCCUGCCAAAACAGCCCCUCCUGCUUCCCCAGAGCCAUGCAAACUUGCCCUUUUUCCAGAGCCCCAGAAGCAUAUCCUUUUCCCUGAACUCCCUAAAUCUGCUAUAUUCUCAGAAUCACAGAAGGCUGUUGAGCUUGGUGAUGAACUACAGAUGGAUGCCAUAGAUGAUCAAAAAUGUGGUAUUCUGGUUCAGGAAGAACUUCUAGCUUCACCUAAGAAACGCUUAGAAAAUACUUGAUUUCCUUUCUCAAAGAAGCUCAAGAAAGACAACCAAGAGAGCUCAGAUGCUGAGCAUAGUAGUAGUGAGUACAUUAAAACAGAUUUGGAUGCAAUGCAUAUUAAGGGCCACGAAUCAAACAAUGAUCAAGAGCAGGUUGAUGUGGAAUCCACUGCUUUUAGCAAAGAGAACAAAAUGGACAUGACUAGUCCAGAGCAGACUAGAAAUGUGCUACAGUUUACUGAAGAAAAAUAAGCUUUUACCUCUGAGGAGGAGAUUGCAAAAUAUAUGAAGCGUGGAAAAGGAAAGUAGUAUUGCAAAGUUUGUUGCUGACGUGCUAUGAAAAAAGGUGCUGUUUUGCAUCGUUUGGUUAAUAGGCAUAAUGUUCAAAGCCCUUACAAAUGCACAAUUUGUGGAAAGGCUUUUCUUUUGGAAUCUCUCCUUAAAAAUCAUGUAGCAGUCCAUGGGCAAAGUUUACUUCAAUGUCCAUGUUGUAAAUUUGAAUCAAAUUUCCCAAGAGGUUUUAAGAAACAUUUAACCCAUUGUCAAAGCCGGCAUAAUGAAGAGGCAAAUAAAAAGCUAGUGGAAGCUCUUGAACCACCACUGGAAGAGCAGCAAAUUUGAUAUUUCAGCACAGUGUGAAUAUUUGCUCUGCUAAGGUGUUUGAUGAAACCAUUCUUUGUAAGUAUAGCUUAUCAAGUAGACUAGUUGGGUCAGUAGACGACAUGUAUAGUGUAUCGUGUUUCACUGUCUCAGUUGUGUUGCUAAGAAUGAGCAUUUGAUUAUUUUUCCUGGUCUCUGUCUAUGUGGCUAUCUUGUAAAUCAGUAUAUUUCCAUAUAUUCCAGGUGGAUUAAACUUCUCAUUUCUUUUAAGUAUAUCUAAAUAAUAAUACAAGGAAGUAGGCAUUCCAUUUAAUAAUCAAGAGCAAGGUGUACUCAAAGCAUUCAGUUAAAGUGUAUCUGUGUGUGGAACUAAUUUCAGACAAUAGAAACUAUUAGUUCAAAUGUUUAAGAAUUAGGCAUAAAAAAUAAAUUUGAGAAAUUUUGUUUCCUUACAUGCAUUUUUAAACCAUAAGGGUUAUUUUUUAUCUGACAUAAAAUUAGUUUAUAAAUCUUUUUUUUUUUUUUU